rnacentral:rRNA from 1 species
GAGUUUUUAACUCUAGUGGCGGACGGGUGAGUAACACGUGAGAAUUUACCUUUAGGAGGGGGAUAACAAUUGGAAACGAAUGCUAAUACCCCAUAUGCUUUCGAGUGAAAUGGAUUUAUAUUUAUCCGCCUAGAGAGAAGCUCGCGGCUGAUUAGCUUGUUGGUAAGGUAAGAGCUUACCAAGGCGACGAUCAGUAUCUGGUUUGAGAGGACGAUCAGACACACUGGAACUGAGACACGGUCCAGACUCCUACGGGAGGCAGCAGUGGGGAAUUUUCCGCAAUGGGCGAAAGCCUGACGGAGCAAUACCGCGUGAGGGAGGACUGCCUAUGGGUUGUAAACCUCUUUUUUCAGGGAGGAAUAAAAUGACGUGUACCUGAAGAAUAAGCAUCGGCUAACUCCGUGCCAGCAGCCGCGGUAAG